rnacentral:pre_miRNA from 1 species
UUUCUACUCCCUCCGUCCGAAAAUACUUGUCAUCAAAAUGGAUAAAAAGAGAUGUAUCUAAAACUAAAAUACGUCUAUAUACAUUUCCUUUUAUCCAUUUUGAUGACAAGUAUUUCCGGACGGAGGGAGUAUUUG